rnacentral:rRNA from 1 species
GGUUAAGCGACUAAGCGUACACGGUGGAUGCCCUGGCAGUCAGAGGCGAUGAAGGACGUGCUAAUCUGCGAUAAGCGUCGGUAAGGUGAUAUGAACCGUUAUAACCGGCGAUUUCCGAAUGGGGAAACCCAGUGUGAUUCGUCACACUAUCAUUAACUGAAUCCAUAGGUUAAUGAGGCGAACCGGGGGAACUGAAACAUCUAAGUACCCCGAGGAAAAGAAAUCAACCGAGAUUCCCCCAGUAGCGGCGAGCGAACGGGGAGCAGCCCAGAGCCUGAAUCAGUGUGUGUGUUAGUGGAAGCGUCUGGAAAGGCGCGCGAUACAGGGUGACAGCCCCGUACACAAAAAUGCACAUGCUGUGAGCUCGAUGAGUAGGGCGGGACACGUGGUAUCCUGUCUGAAUAUGGGGGGACCAUCCUCCAAGGCUAAAUACUCCUGACUGACCGAUAGUGAACCAGUACCGUGAGGGAAAGGCGAAAAGAACCCCGGCGAGGGGAGUGAAAAAGAACCUGAAACCGUGUACGUACAAGCAGUGGGAGCACAGAGCAAUCUGUGUGACUGCGUACCUUUUGUAUAAUGGGUCAGCGACUUAUAUUCUGUAGCAAGGUUAACCGAAUAGGGGAGCCGAAGGGAAACCGAGUCUUAACUGGGCGUUAAGUUGCAGGGUAUAGACCCGAAACCCGGUGAUCUAGCCAUGGGCAGGUUGAAGGUUGGGUAACACUAACUGGAGGACCGAACCGACUAAUGUUGAAAAAUUAGCGGAUGACUUGUGGCUGGGGGUGAAAGGCCAAUCAAACCGGGAGAUAGCUGGUUCUCCCCGAAAGCUAUUUAGGUAGCGCCUCGUGAAUUCAUCUCCGGGGGUAGAGCACUGUUUCGGCAAGGGGGUCAUCCCGACUUACCAACCCGAUGCAAACUGCGAAUACCGGAGAAUGUUAUCACGGGAGACACACGGCGGGUGCUAACGUCCGUCGUGAAGAGGGAAACAACCCAGACCGCCAGCUAAGGUCCCAAAGUCAUGGUUAAGUGGGAAACGAUGUGGGAAGGCCCAGACAGCCAGGAUGUUGGCUUAGAAGCAGCCAUCAUUUAAAGAAAGCGUAAUAGCUCACUGGUCGAGUCGGCCUGCGCGGAAGAUGUAACGGGGCUAAACCAUGCACCGAAGCUGCGGCAGCGACGCUGAUGCGUUGUUGGGUAGGGGAGCGUUCUGUAAGCCUGUGAAGGUGUGCUGUGAGGCAUGCUGGAGGUAUCAGAAGUGCGAAUGCUGACAUAAGUAACGAUAAAGCGGGUGAAAAGCCCGCUCGCCGGAAGACCAAGGGUUCCUGUCCAACGUUAAUCGGGGCAGGGUGAGUCGACCCCUAAGGCGAGGCCGAAAGGCGUAGUCGAUGGGAAACAGGUUAAUAUUCCUGUACUUGGUGUUACUGCGAAGGGGGGACGGAGAAGGCUAUGUUGGCCGGGCGACGGUUGUCCCGGUUUAAGCGUGUAGGCUGGUUUUCCAGGCAAAUCCGGAAAAUCAAGGCUGAGGCGUGAUGACGAGGCACUACGGUGCUGAAGCAACAAAUGCCCUGCUUCCAGGAAAAGCCUCUAAGCAUCAGGUAACAUCAAAUCGUACCCCAAACCGACACAGGUGGUCAGGUAGAGAAUACCAAGGCGCUUGAGAGAACUCGGGUGAAGGAACUAGGCAAAAUGGUGCCGUAACUUCGGGAGAAGGCACGCUGAUAUGUAGGUGAAGUCCCUCGCGGAUGGAGCUGAAAUCAGUCGAAGAUACCAGCUGGCUGCAACUGUUUAUUAAAAACACAGCACUGUGCAAACACGAAAGUGGACGUAUACGGUGUGACGCCUGCCCGGUGCCGGAAGGUUAAUUGAUGGGGUCAGCGCAAGCGAAGCUCUUGAUCGAAGCCCCGGUAAACGGCGGCCGUAACUAUAACGGUCCUAAGGUAGCGAAAUUCCUUGUCGGGUAAGUUCCGACCUGCACGAAUGGCGUAAUGAUGGCCAGGCUGUCUCCACCCGAGACUCAGUGAAAUUGAACUCGCUGUGAAGAUGCAGUGUACCCGCGGCAAGACGGAAAGACCCCGUGAACCUUUACUAUAGCUUGACACUGAACAUUGAGCCUUGAUGUGUAGGAUAGGUGGGAGGCUUUGAAGUGUGGACGCCAGUCUGCAUGGAGCCGGCCUUGAAAUACCACCCUUUAAUGUUUGAUGUUCUAACGUGGACCCGUAAUCCGGGUUGCGGACAGUGUCUGGUGGGUAGUUUGACUGGGGCGGUCUCCUCCUAAAGAGUAACGGAGGAGCACGAAGGUUGGCUAAUCCUGGUCGGACAUCAGGAGGUUAGUGCAAUGGCAUAAGCCAGCUUGACUGCGAGCGUGACGGCGCGAGCAGGUGCGAAAGCAGGUCAUAGUGAUCCGGUGGUUCUGAAUGGAAGGGCCAUCGCUCAACGGAUAAAAGGUACUCCGGGGAUAACAGGCUGAUACCGCCCAAGAGUUCAUAUCGACGGCGGUGUUUGGCACCUCGAUGUCGGCUCAUCACAUCCUGGGGCUGAAGUAGGUCCCAAGGGUAUGGCUGUUCGCCAUUUAAAGUGGUACGCGAGCUGGGUUUAGAACGUCGUGAGACAGUUCGGUCCCUAUCUGCCGUGGGCGCUGGAGAAUUGAGGGGGGCUGCUCCUAGUACGAGAGGACCGGAGUGGACGCAUCACUGGUGUUCGGGUUGUCAUGCCAAUGGCACUGCCCGGUAGCUAAAUGCGGAAGAGAUAAGUGCUGAAAGCAUCUAAGCACGAAACUUGCCCCGAGAUGAGUUCUCCCUGACUCCUUGAGAGUCCUGAAGGAACGUUGAAGACGACGACGUUGAUAGGCCGGGUGUGUAAGCGCAGCGAUGCGUUGAGCUAACCGGUACUAAUGAACCGUGAGGCUUAACCUU